AAUCAACGCUGGCGGCGCGCUUAACACAUGCAAGUCGCACGAGAAAGUGGAGCAAUCCAUGAGUACAGUGGCGCACGGGUGAGUAACACGUGGGUAACCUGCCCUUGAAUGGGGAAUAACCCGGGGAAACCUGGGCUAAUACCGCAUACGCUCCUUUUGGCUCACGCCAGGGGGAGGAAAGGCGCAAGCCGUUCGCGGAGGGGCCCGCGGCCGAUUAGCUAGUUGGUAGGGUAAUGGCCUACCAAGGCUUUGAUCGGUAGCCGGCCUGAGAGGGCACACGGCCACACUGGCACUGAAACACGGGCCAGACUCCUACGGGAGGCAGCAGUGGGGAAUCUUGCACAAUGGGGGAAACCCUGAUGCAGCGACGCCGCGUGAGCGAUGAAGCCCUUC
rnacentral:rRNA from 1 species